AUUCCUGUGGGAAUUACACCCAGCAUCGAGAGUUAAUUGAAUGUCAGCCUCAGAACUUUCAAAGAAAUUUCAAAGAAAACUUUCAAAGGAACAGCUACAAUACAAAAACCUGAAUCAUCUUUGGACAAUCCUAGGCAAUUUUCCACAUGACUUGGACUCCAGGGAGAACACGUCUGCUCCUCUUUAAAAUAGUGCCAUGGGAUCUUUUACAUCCAUCUGAUCAUGCAGGUGGAGUCUUGGUGUAACAUCUCAUUCAACCAGCAGCAUCUGGCAACACAGCACUCCUGCAUUAUUGUCCUAAAUUGUGUGCUCAAACUUCUGGAAUGAGAUCUAAACCCACAACCUUCUGACUCAGAGUAGGGAAUCUAAUCUUUGGAUUGUGGGAGAAAACUGGAGCACCUGUAGGAAAUCCGACAGUC